rnacentral:tRNA from 1 species
GUUUUAAUAAUUUAAUAAUUUAAAAUAUUGAUUUUGUAAAUCAAAAAUAAGUAUAUCUUUUAAAACU